GGUGGGUUAUACCAUUAAUUGUUUCGCUUAUUACUGAAAGACACAUGGGUGAGUGACCCCACGUCUGCUACUGAGGUGCUGUCACAGCUCGCAGUGUGUGAGUGGGUGCUGUUUGGAGGCAAAAAUAAUUUCUCACAGCGGGCCACAUCUCCACACCAGAUAAUGAGCGACUGGUAGCAAGGUAAGCAUGUGUCAGGAUGGAGGGAACUAGAGACAUUUCCAAACGAGAAGCGAGUAAAACAGUUUA